AAGUCGUAACAAGGUAACCGUAGGUGAACCUGCGGUUGGAUCAUUAUUAUAAUGAAAAAUGGGGGCCGAAGGCCUUUGGGCUGCUCCCUCGGAGCAGGUCGGGCCGCCUUUGGCCUUCGGGUCUAGCUAGCUAGUCGAACUACGGAACCAGUCUGAUUCCCCGCCGACCGUAGGGGAUAGGUAGGCAGCGCUCCGCUUGGGGCGUCCGACUGGUUGUGAACUGUAUGCCGUACAGGCUGAUGUCCCCCUCCUGCCCGUGGGGGAUUAAUCGGUCGGCAGCGCUCCUCUUUGGGGGGUGUCCGGUCAUGUUCACGCACUUUGCAAACACACUUUUCUUUUUAUGACUUGUGCAAUUCAAAAACAACUUUUGGCAACGGAUCUCUUGGCUCUC
rnacentral:misc_RNA from 1 species